rnacentral:rRNA from 1 species
UUAAGCGACUAAGCGUACACGGUGGAUGCCCUGGCAGUCAGAGGCGAUGAAGGACGUGCUAAUCUGCGAUAAGCGUCGGUAAGGUGAUAUGAACCGUUAUAACCGGCGAUUUCCGAAUGGGGAAACCCAGUGUGUUUCGACACACUAUCAUUAACUGAAUCCAUAGGUUAAUGAGGCGAACCGGGGGAACUGAAACAUCUAAGUACCCCGAGGAAAAGAAAUCAACCGAGAUUCCCCCAGUAGCGGCGAGCGAACGGGGAGCAGCCCAGAGCCUGAAUCAGUAUGUGUGUUAGUGGAAGCGUCUGGAAAGGCGCGCGAUACAGGGUGACAGCCCCGUACACAAAAAUGCACAUAUUGUGAGCUCGAUGAGUAGGGCGGGACACGUGGUAUCCUGUCUGAAUAUGGGGGGGCCAUCCUCCAAGGCUAAAUACUCCUGACUGACCGAUAGUGAACCAGUACCGUGAGGGAAAGGCGAAAAGAACCCCGGCGAGGGGAGUGAAAAAGAACCUGAAACCGUGUACGUACAAGCAGUGGGAGCACGCUUAGGCGUGUGACUGCGUACCUUUUGUAUAAUGGGUCAGCGACUUAUAUUCUGUAGCAAGGUUAACCGAAUAGGGGAGCCGAAGGGAAACCGAGUCUUAACUGGGCGUUAAGUUGCAGGGUAUAGACCCGAAACCCGGUGAUCUAGCCAUGGGCAGGUUGAAGGUUGGGUAACACUAACUGGAGGACCGAACCGACUAAUGUUGAAAAAUUAGCGGAUGACUUGUGGCUGGGGGUGAAAGGCCAAUCAAACCGGGAGAUAGCUGGUUCUCCCCGAAAGCUAUUUAGGUAGCGCCUCGUGAAUUCAUCUCCGGGGGUAGAGCACUGUUUCGGCAAGGGGGUCAUCCCGACUUACCAACCCGAUGCAAACUGCGAAUACCGGAGAAUGUUAUCACGGGAGACACACGGCGGGUGCUAACGUCCGUCGUGAAGAGGGAAACAACCCAGACCGCCAGCUAAGGUCCCAAAGUCAUGGUUAAGUGGGAAACGAUGUGGGAAGGCCCAGACAGCCAGGAUGUUGGCUUAGAAGCAGCCAUCAUUUAAAGAAAGCGUAAUAGCUCACUGGUCGAGUCGGCCUGCGCGGAAGAUGUAACGGGGCUAAACCAUGCACCGAAGCUGCGGCAGCGACACUAUGUGUUGUUGGGUAGGGGAGCGUUCUGUAAGCCUGUGAAGGUGUGCUGUGAGGCAUGCUGGAGGUAUCAGAAGUGCGAAUGCUGACAUAAGUAACGAUAAAGCGGGUGAAAAGCCCGCUCGCCGGAAGACCAAGGGUUCCUGUCCAACGUUAAUCGGGGCAGGGUGAGUCGACCCCUAAGGCGAGGCCGAAAGGCGUAGUCGAUGGGAAACAGGUUAAUAUUCCUGUACUUGGUGUUACUGCGAAGGGGGGACGGAGAAGGCUAUGUUGGCCGGGCGACGGUUGUCCCGGUUUAAGCGUGUAGGCUGGUUUUCCAGGCAAAUCCGGAAAAUCAAGGCUGAGGCGUGAUGACGAGGCACUACGGUGCUGAAGCAACAAAUGCCCUGCUUCCAGGAAAAGCCUCUAAGCAUCAGGUAACAUCAAAUCGUACCCCAAACCGACACAGGUGGUCAGGUAGAGAAUACCAAGGCGCUUGAGAGAACUCGGGUGAAGGAACUAGGCAAAAUGGUGCCGUAACUUCGGGAGAAGGCACGCUGAUAUGUAGGUGAAGUCCCUCGCGGAUGGAGCUGAAAUCAGUCGAAGAUACCAGCUGGCUGCAACUGUUUAUUAAAAACACAGCACUGUGCAAACACGAAAGUGGACGUAUACGGUGUGACGCCUGCCCGGUGCCGGAAGGUUAAUUGAUGGGGUUAGCCGCAAGGCGAAGCUCUUGAUCGAAGCCCCGGUAAACGGCGGCCGUAACUAUAACGGUCCUAAGGUAGCGAAAUUCCUUGUCGGGUAAGUUCCGACCUGCACGAAUGGCGUAAUGAUGGCCAGGCUGUCUCCACCCGAGACUCAGUGAAAUUGAACUCGCUGUGAAGAUGCAGUGUACCCGCGGCAAGACGGAAAGACCCCGUGAACCUUUACUAUAGCUUGACACUGAACAUUGAGCCUUGAUGUGUAGGAUAGGUGGGAGGCUUUGAAGUGUGGACGCCAGUCUGCAUGGAGCCGACCUUGAAAUACCACCCUUUAAUGUUUGAUGUUCUAACGUUGACCCGUAAUCCGGGUUGCGGACAGUGUCUGGUGGGUAGUUUGACUGGGGCGGUCUCCUCCUAAAGAGUAACGGAGGAGCACGAAGGUUGGCUAAUCCUGGUCGGACAUCAGGAGGUUAGUGCAAUGGCAUAAGCCAGCUUGACUGCGAGCGUGACGGCGCGAGCAGGUGCGAAAGCAGGUCAUAGUGAUCCGGUGGUUCUGAAUGGAAGGGCCAUCGCUCAACGGAUAAAAGGUACUCCGGGGAUAACAGGCUGAUACCGCCCAAGAGUUCAUAUCGACGGCGGUGUUUGGCACCUCGAUGUCGGCUCAUCACAUCCUGGGGCUGAAGUAGGUCCCAAGGGUAUGGCUGUUCGCCAUUUAAAGUGGUACGCGAGCUGGGUUUAGAACGUCGUGAGACAGUUCGGUCCCUAUCUGCCGUGGGCGCUGGAGAACUGAGGGGGGCUGCUCCUAGUACGAGAGGACCGGAGUGGACGCAUCACUGGUGUUCGGGUUGUCAUGCCAAUGGCACUGCCCGGUAGCUAAAUGCGGAAGAGAUAAGUGCUGAAAGCAUCUAAGCACGAAACUUGCCCCGAGAUGAGUUCUCCCUGACUCCUUGAGAGUCCUGAAGGAACGUUGAAGACGACGACGUUGAUAGGCCGGGUGUGUAAGCGCAGCGAUGCGUUGAGCUAACCGGUACUAAUGAACCGUGAGGCUUAACCU